rnacentral:rRNA from 1 species
UACGGGGGGGCAAGCGUUGUUCGGAAUUACUGGGCGUAAAGCGCACGUAGUCGGCUUUGCAAGUCGGUUGUGAAAUCCCCGGGCUCAACCUGGGAACUGCAUCCGAGACUGCAUUGCUAGAGUAUGGGAGAGGAAAGCGGAAUUUCUGGUGUAGCAGUGAAAUGCGUAGAUAUCAGAAGGAACAUCAGUGGCGAAGGCGGCUUUCUGGACCAAUACUGACGAUCAGGUGCGAAAGCGUGGGGAGCAAACAGG